GGGGGCGUACUGGCUUCGACGUGGGUGCUGAAACAUAAGGAGCAUACCGGGGCGGAUGAGGACCUCGAUAAAAACGUCCAUUUUGUAAUUGGCAACGAUUACGCACUUGCAGCUUAAUUGACUGCACGAUCUCCCUUGAGGCGGCUGCGCUCUUGGAUAGAUUGUCACUUUAGUGGCCUCGGCGUGUUGGGUUUUCUCCAGCAGACUCGCUUAAAUACACUGGGGGAAUGUGUCGCGUAUAUUUUGUCUGUAGAAGCUGCGCGAACAAAUUAAAAUACUGACUAAGUAUGUAGCGCCUUAUCGCGGAUCACUUGCGGACGGGGGUUCAAUUCCCCCCGCCUCCACCU
rnacentral:tmRNA from 1 species